UGAGUACUAUGAUAUUAUCUCUCUUAAAAUAUGUUUUUCUUUAUCCAUAAUACAGAGGAAUCAAAAAAAUAUGUUAGAACUUGGAUGUGAAGUUGCACAAAUGUGUGAAGCAAAUUAAGGUGACAAGGCAGAAACAAGAAAAUGUUCAAAUUAAAUCUACCUUUCAAAGCAGGUUAUACAGCCAAGCCCAGAUUCAAGGAGUGAGGAAUAGAAUUCACCUCUUAAGAGAAAUAGCAAAGUGACAUGGCAGAGGACAUGGAUUCAUGGAGGGGUGAAGCAUUGGGACCAUUAAUAUCACAGCAGGGAUGACCUGAGCAUGCUUGAAAGUAGAAGGGAAGGAAUAUGCAGAACGAAGAAGAAGGUGAAGUAAAGAGCAAAAUCGAUACCAUAGAACUGGAGCUAAAUUAAGACCAAGAGCUCUGGAGACAAGGUGACCACACUUGGGGAUUGUCAUAGUUUGAGUAAUUCCUCUGGGCUCUGCCACCCAGCAAGUUAAAGAGGACAAGAUUCCUCCCAGGGGACUGUGGUUCUGGGAAUGUGAGCAGCUUGUUUUCAUGAGAUCUGCACCCUGGCCUGGCCUGUGACCCAGAAGCAUCCAGAGUGAGCUGCACAUUGGACCACUCCUGGAAUAGAUUCAUCACUUGUGUUUUUUGGCUUGGAUAUCACUGUUCUGUGCCACCUGUGGAAAAUGGGAGACAAAUUAUAUCCCUUAUGAUUGCAGUUGUUAGGGAAUUACCGCUCAGCUGGGAGCUCUGUUCUGUGCAACUUCACUCUGGGACCGAGGCUGCCUGGAGAACCACCAUCUGGAGUAUGGCUAGUCUCCGUGAGAGAGAGGAAGAUAGAGUGGUGAAUUUCUCACUGGCUUUUAAAGCUUACACCUGAAAGUGAUACAUGGCACUUCUACUCAGAUGUCACUAGGCAAAGCAAGUCACGUGGCUGUACCCAACUUCAAAAGGCGAAGAAGUGCAAUCAUACCCUGUGUUUGGGAAAAUCGGACACACUUGGUGGGCAGAACUGUCCCAGAUGAUGACAGUUGCUAUGAAGAAACAAAGCCAGGUAAAGGAGAUGAUGUCUGGAUAGCUGGUUUCUACUUGAUAUAGGUGGUCAGGAAAGGUCUCUCUGAUAAGGUGACAUUUGAGGAGAGAUUCUAAGAGGGCCAUUUGGAUGGGCACGGGGCAAUUUCCUGCAAGGGAUACAGCAAGGGCAAAGUGUGCCUGGCGUGUUUGAGAAACAACUAGGAGGUCCAGGUGGCUAGACUGGAGUGAGCAAGGGGAAAGCUGUAGAAAAUUAGGUCAGAGAGAUAACCGAGAGCUGGGGACACAAGGUAGGGCCUUACUGUAAGAGCUCUGGCCGUUGUAGAUUUUUGUGUAAAGACACAAUCUGAGUUAGGCUUUAAAAGCUGCUGUGGCUGCUGUGUGGAAAAUACAGCAGGGGGCCAAGGAUUGAAGCAGAGAGUGGUUAAGAGGCUGUUUCAGUAAUCCAGGUGAGGUAAGAGACGGGGUAGUGGUCAGAUUCUGGACAUAGUUCGAAGGUAAAACCAACAGAAUUUGCCAAUGUGUUGGUUGUAAGAGAAGGAGGAGAUUUGAGGAUGACUUCAAAGGUUUGUUUCUCCUAGUAGUGCCUGGACACACAUAAGGACUGCCUCAGGUGGUUUUUGAGACUCUUCUAACUUGGCAAUAUCACCAUAGCAUAUAACUUCCCCCAUACAUGAGUCAAAGUUGGACAGCCAAGUGGAGAUAUAGAUGCUGGGGCAGUCAGCCUGAUUCAUGUACCAGCAAAGGGACUUCUGUCCCCACAUUGGCCUCAUAUCUGGUCUCUCUUUGGACUUAUGACCCAAGUUAAUUUAUAAAACCAGAGAAGUGAGCUUCAUAAUUACAAGCAAAAUAGGAGAAAAUGACUGAGUCAUCCCAACCUCAUCUCACCCCGCCAUUCCUCUGUGAACCUCAGAUAGCGCUACCAAGAAACCCAGCUAUUACAACAUGGGGUCUAUCCUCAUUGGACACUGGGACAGUGAUGUGUUGCCUCCCAUUCUCCUGGAAAUACGUUGAGUAAAAUUCUUAACAAAUACGACAAAACAACACUGUGGUGUUUUUCUGAAUAGUGUGUCCCCCAUUUCUGCUCACCCUGUCAUCCUGUAACAUGGCUCUCCCCAUCACUACCACCCAGUAAAUGGCAACUGGAACUCCCUGCUACACCUGGGCCUUCUCUGUGUCUUCUCCAGCAUAGAGUAGCAUAGGUUGAGUGCAAAGUUUGCCACCUACCAUAACGGACUGAAUAAAUGAAGGUCCAUGCUGUUUUUAAGAACUAUUUUGGGGGUAUUUAUACUCAAAAGCAUUCAUUUGUUCAAGAAAUCUUCUUGAACUCCUACUAUGUGCCAGGUACUCUUCUAAGCACUGGAGACACAGCCAUGGAUAGAAUAUAUAAGUAAUAUAUAUUGUUGAAAACUGGGAAAGCAUAGAAAGGUACUCAGAAAAGAUAACAUUUCCACUAACUCACCACCGAAACAUAAUUGCUAGUAACAUUUUGGUGCCCAGUCUUUUUCUGAGCAUAUAUAUCUUUCCUUCCUCCUUUUUUGAAUAAAAUUUACAACUUUGGGCUGACAUUGUACAUUUUUUCUUUUAAAAUUUUUUCUUCUCAUAAAAAUAAAUCAUA
rnacentral:lncRNA from 1 species